rnacentral:rRNA from 1 species
GUAUAGUGCAAGCGUUAUCCGGAUUUAUUGGGUUUAAAGGGAGCGUAGGUGGAUUGUUAAGUCAGUUGUGAAAGUUUGCGGCUCAACCGUAAAAUUGCAGUUGAUACUGGAUAUCUUGAGUGCAGUUGAGGCAGGCGGAAUUCGUGGUGUAGCGGUGAAAUGCUUAGAUAUCACGAAGAACUCCGAUUGCGAAGGCAGCCUGCUAAGCUGCAACUGACAUUGAGGCUCGAAAGUGUGGGUAUCAAACAGGAUUAGAUACCCUGGUAGUCCACACGGUAAACGAUGAAUACUCGCUGUUUGCGAUAUACGGCAAGCGGCCAAGCGAAAGCGUUAAGUAUUCCACCUGGGGAGU